GAUGAAGAACGUAGCGAAAUGCGAUAAGUAGUGUGAAUUGCAGAAGUACCGUGAAUCAUCGAAUCUUUGAACGCAAAUUGCACUCUCUGGUAUUCCGGGGAGUAUGCCUGUUUGAGGGUCGCUUAACAAACCAUCGAUUUCGUUGCUUUUUUUUUAAAAAAGUGAUGUUUAUCGGAUUUGAGCCGUCUUUUUUUUUUUAUAUUUAAGUGGCUUAAAAUUGAUUUUUUUUGGUACGAUCGAAGCGUAUUUUUAUGAUCAAUUUUUGGUUAAAGAAACGCACACGUACCGUUAUUUAUAUGAUGUAAUACGUUUGACUAUCGGAUUUAGUUCAUUCGUAUACGAUAUUUUUCAAUAUUUGACCUCAAAUCAGGUAAGAACACCCGCUGAACUUAAGCAUAUCAAUAAGCGGAGGA
rnacentral:misc_RNA from 1 species